rnacentral:rRNA from 1 species
GAGCCAAGAAAAGUUUCUAAGUUUAGCUAAUGUUGCCCGUACCGUAAACCGACACAGGUGGGUGGGAUGAGUAUUCUAAGGCGCGUGGAAGAACUCUCUUUAAGGAACUCUGCAAAAUAGCACCGUAUCUUCGGUAUAAGGUGUGGUUAGCUUUGUAUUAGGAUUUACUCCGAAAGCAAGGAAACUUACAACAAAGAGUCCCUCCCGACUGUUUACCAAAAACACAGCACUCUGCUAACUCGUAAGAGGAUGUAUAGGGUGUGACGCCUGCCCGGUGCCCGAAGGUUAAUUGAUGGGGUUAGCAUUAGCGAAGCUCUUGAUCGAAGCCCGAGCAAA